UUACGGGAGGCAGCAGUGGGGAAUAUUGGACAAUGGGCGCAAGCCUGAUCCAGCAAUGCCGCGUGUGUGAAGAAGGCCUGCGGGUUGUAAAGCACUUUUGUUGGGGACGUAAAGGUUGUGGUGAAUAGCUGCAGCUGCUGACGGUACCCAAAGAAUAAGCACCGGCUAACUUCGUGCCAGCAGCCGCGGUAAUACGAAGGGUGCAAGCGUUAAUCGGAAUUACUGGGCGUAAAGGGUGCGUAGGCGGUUUGGUCAGUCGGAUGUGAAAGCCCUGGGCUCAACCUGGGAACUGCAUCUGAUACUGCCGAGCUUAGAGUCUAGGAGAGGGUGGUGGAAUUCCCGGUGUAGCGGUGAAAUGCGUAGAGAUCGGGAGGAACAUUCGUGGCGAAGGCGGCCACCUGGCCUAAGACUGACGCUGAGGCACGAAAGCGUGGGGAGCAAACAGGAUUAGAUACCCGGGUAGUCCU
rnacentral:rRNA from 1 species